rnacentral:rRNA from 1 species
UUUCGCAAUGCCCGAAAGGGUGACAAUGCGACGCCGCGUGUGCGAUGAAGGUCUUCGGAUUGUAAAGCACUGUCAGUCGGGAGGAAGGUGACUCUAUCGAACAGAUGGAGUUGCUUGACAGUACCGGCAGAGGAAGCCACGGCUAACUCCGUGCCAGCAGCCGCGGUAAUACGGAGGUGGCAGGCGUUACUCGGAUUGAUUGGGUGUAAAGGGCGUGUAGGUGGUGAAUUAAGUCGAUUGUGAAAUCCCUUGGCUUAACCAAGGAACUGCAUUCGAAACUGAUUUGCUUGAGUGAUAGAGAGGUAAGUGGAAUUCCCGGUGUAACAGUGAAAUGUGUAGAUAUCGGGAGGAACACCAGUGGCGAAGGCGACUUACUGGCUGUCUACUGACACUGAAACGCGAGAGCUAGGGGAGCAAACAGGAUUAGAUACCCUGGUAGUCCUAGCCGUAAACGAUGGGCACUAAGUAGAGGGGUUUUAAUCUC